rnacentral:misc_RNA from 1 species
UCUAUGAAAAGUGUGUCAUAAAAUUAAUUUUAAAUUUCGCUUGGCUUUCGUUUUUUCUUCUUUUGCCGGACGACUUUUCAUCCCCAUGGAACCGUGUCAACCUUAUGCUCCUGCCGCUGCCACGCCCACCGACGCCCCGUGAUUACGCUGUCGCUCCGACGUCCCGUCGUCCUGACUUCCUGACGUCCUGACGUCCCGUCGCCAACAUCGCCAUCGUCGCCAUCGCCGCCUGCCAACAACAGAGGACACUCAAAUCGUGAGCCCUGAUGGAUUUGACAUUUCGUCGAGUAAGCGCAAAAGCAAACCAAACCCCAAAAAUCAACAGAGGCGUCGUCAACGGAGUUUUGGGGGUAAAGAAAAAGAAACUGGGAAUCAG